rnacentral:piRNA from 1 species
UGAAAAAGGAUAGAUAUGAAAGAAAUGGUACA